rnacentral:rRNA from 1 species
UACGGAGGGUGCGAGCGUUGUCCGGAAUCACUGGGCGUAAAGGGCGCGUAGGCGGCUCGAUAAGGCUGUGGUGAAAGCCCGGGGCUCAACCCCGGGUCGGCCGUGGCGACUGUUGGGCUGGAGCACUGUAGAGGCGGGCGGAUUCCGGGUGUAGCGGUGGAAUGCGUAGAGAUCCGGAAGAACACCGGUGGCGAAGGCGGGUCUCUGGGCCGAUACUGACGCUGAGGAGCGAAAGCAUGGGUAGCGAACAGG